GUGGGGGACAACGUUUCGAAAGGAACGCUAAUACCGCAUACGUCCUACGGGAGAAAGCAGGGGACCUUCGGGCCUUGCGCUAUCAGAUGAGCCUAGGUCGGAUUAGCUUGUUGGUGAGGUAAUGGCUCACCAAGGCGACGAUCCGUAACUGGUCUGAGAGGAUGAUCAGUCACACUGGAACUGAGACACGGUCCAGACUCCUACGGGAGGCAGCAGUGGGGAAUAUUGGACAAUGGGCGAAAGCCUGAUCCAGCCAUGCCGCGUGUGUGAAGAAGGUCUUCGGAUUGUAAAGCACUUUAAGUUGGGAGGAAGGGCAGUAAGUUAAUACCUUGCUGUUUUGACGUUACCGACAGAAUAAGCACCGGCUAACUCUGUGCCAGCAGCCGCGGUAAUACAGAGGGUGCAAGCGUUAAUCGGAAUUACUGGGCGUAAAGCGCGCGUAGGUGGUUUGUUAAGUUGGAUGUGAAAGCCCCGGGCUCAACCUGGGAACUGCAUCCAAAANUGGCAAGCUAGAGUACGGUAGAGGGUGGUGGAAUUUCCUGUGUAGCGGUGAAAUGCGUAGAUAUAGGAAGGAACACCAGUGGCGAAGGCGACCACCUGGACUGAUACUGACACUGAGGUGCGAAAGCGUGGGGAGCAAACAGGAUUAGAUACNNUGGUAGUCCACGCCGUAANCGAUGUCAACUAGCCGUUGGAAUCCUUGAGAUUUUAGUGGCGCAGCUAACGCAUUAAGUUGACCG
rnacentral:rRNA from 1 species